rnacentral:rRNA from 1 species
UCCGGCCGCAAUUCGCCCUUGAGACCAGCCGCCGCGGCAAUUCCAGCUCCAAUAGCGUAUACUAAAGUUGUUGCAGUUAAAAAGCUCGUAGUUGGAUUUCUGGCGGGGACGGCUGGUCGGUCUCGAAAGGGGCUGUACUGUUGUUGGUUCCCGUCAUCCUUGGGGAGAGCGGCUCUUACAUUAAGUUGUCGGCGUCGGGAUCCCUAUCUUUUACUGUGAAAAAAUUAGAGUGUUCAAAGCAGGCUUAGGCCCUGAAUACAUUAGCAUGGAAUAAUAAGAUACGACCUUGGUGGUCUAUUUUGUUGGUUUGCACGCCAUGGUAAUGAUUAAUAGGGAUAGUUGGGGGUAUUCGUAUUCAAUUGUCAGAGGUGAAAUUCUUGGAUUUAUGGAAGACGAACUACUGCGAAAGCAUUUACCAAGGAUGUUUUCAUUAAUCAAGAACGAAAGUUAGGGGGAUCGAAUGAUGAUUAGAUACCAUCGUAGUCUUAACCAUAAACUAUGCCGACUAGGGAUCGGUGGGUGCAUUUUUAGGCCUCAUCGGCACCUUAUGAGAAAUCAAAGUCUUUGGGUUCCGGGGGAGAUGGUCCCAAGCGGAACUUAAGAAUUGCCGGAGGGGCCACCAGAGUGGGCCGCGGUUAUUUGCCACCCGGGAACUACAAGGCAACAAUAAAGGUUACAGUGAACCCUCUUACUCUUGGGGGGGGAGCGGCUAUUGGGGNGAUUCUGGAACCGUAUAAAGAGCCCCGGAAUAAUNGGCGUUAUCUUAUGCUNNNGGCCGCGGCGGGGGNGGGGNNNNUNNNNCCNGGU